GAUGAACGCUGGCGGCGUGCCUAAUACAUGCAAGUCGAGCGAACAGACGAGGAGCUUGCUCCUCUGACGUUAGCGGCGGACGGGUGAGUAACACGUGGAUAACCUACCUAUAAGACUGGGAUAACUUCGGGAAACCGGAGCUAAUACCGGAUAAUAUAUUGAACCGCAUGGUUCAAUAGUGAAAGACGGUUUUGCUGUCACUUAUAGAUGGAUCCGCGCCGCAUUAGCUAGUUGGUAAGGUAACGGCUUACCAAGGCAACGAUGCGUAGCCGACCUGAGAGGGUGAUCGGCCACACGGGAACUGAGACACGGUCCAGACUCCUACGGGAGGCAGCAGUAGGGAAUCUUCCGCAGUGGGCGAGAGCCUGACGGAGCAGCGCCGCGUGAGUGAUGAAGGUCUUCGGAUCGUAAAACUCUGUUAUUAGGGAAGAACAAAUGUGUAAGUAACUAUGCACGUCUUGACGGUACCUAAUCAGAAAGCCACGGCUAACUACGUG
rnacentral:rRNA from 1 species